AGGGAAGAAAGGGGGAGGAAGCAAGAACUUUGAAGCUGGAGAGCCUAGAGCCUAGGCCGCCACUUGGGAGGUCCCGGCCUCAGUCUGGCCAGGCCAACCGUACCCCCGGGAGGAUCGGGAGGAUCGGAGCUAGGGCGGGUCACAAUUACACCUCGGCUCCAGGCGAGGGUUUAAAACCAAGUGGUGGGGACUGAAGUCUGGAUGCAAGGCCCCCGCGGUCAUCAGAGGGGUGGGGGCAGGCCCGUGCACAGGAACCUUUUACAAGACAUGUGGGUACAAGAAAACAAAAUCAAAAUAAACUACUUUCAUCCAUCAUGGCCAAUGAAAAUAAAAGCUGUCUUGUAGAGGAGGUGAGGGGUCGUUUUGAAAUUCAGCGUGUUUUGUUUUUCUAUAAAGAGUUUUUCGAUUUUCCACCCGACAAUUGAGGCUGGAAUUGUCAGGGGAGGGGAGAAAGGACUCUUACAUGGGCAGAGGUGGGUGGGGUUGGGUUCAUAGGUUUACCCAAGUAUGCGCAACCAUACUUCUUAGUGCCUCAGAUGGCAGCAACAUAGGUCUGUCUAAUGGUCCCAUCUCAUUUCUUUCCAAAAAUUAGACUCCAGAAAGGGAAGAUUGGAAGGCAUUAAAAGUGUGGCAUCUAGAUUUGACCAAAGGGUCUACUCCAAGGAUAGUCAUUGUGGCCACUCUAGUCAGGAGGAGCAGCGUUCUCCUCAUGGCUGUAGGGUUGGGGCCUCCCCACCUAUUUCCGUACAUGGUUCCUAGGCUUAAAGGAAGGAGAGAAUCAAUUGCUUGGGCUUUGCUGUCAGGUUGUCCGGGUGAAGAAGGAGAUGACCUUUCACAGGCAGUGUCCCCACCCUGUAGAGGUGGCCAGUGGCUUGUCUGGACAUUGCGUGGUGUUUUAUUUUUAGUUUUCCAAACGCUCCUGACAGACUCUUAUCCAGAAAGUUUGUGGGAGAAGCAUGGGGGUGGGGUGGGGUGGUACUAGGGUGUUUAAAAGGACAUACUGGGGUGUUUAAAGGAAAAUAGAACAAAAUGCGCGCUUUAGAUUCCUCUCCGGGUUUUCUGAUGUUUGGUCUAAAAAAACCGCGCCAAGAUUCACUUUUAAGAAAACCUUGGAGGAAGGGUGGGUGGGGCCUAGAAACCGCUCUCUGCUGAGCUCAGAAUCUGGUGCCUCAACUUUUCUUUCCCUUCUCUUCGGCCACUGCCCCUAGUCCAGAGCUGGCCAGAGUACCUCUUCCAGAGAAGUUCCAAAGGAUAGAGUAAGGGAGGAAUCUCUGUUGCUUCCGCAGAGCAAAGGUUUAGGACAUUUCUGAAAUUACUUUUAAAGAACAGUUUACACUAAGUCCAUAUUUCUACAGCACGAUUUGCUGUGGGAGUGUUGUGUAGAAACUUUGGCUUCCACCCGUCGUCCCCUCUCACCUUGAGUCCAGUCUCACCUCGCGGAUCGCUGCUCGAAUCCCUGCAAAGUACUCUCUUCCUCUUCCUGAGGGUGCUUGGCUUCGGCAAACUCUCACCCAUCUUCAACGGACACCGACCUUCGCGACGACACGACCUGGAUGAAUGGAGUAUCCGGAGAAGGUUUUUGAAGACGUUUAGGAGGAAGGGUGAGUUUUCUGUUGAGAAACUCAAUCUGCCAUACAGUAGCAGCCCCAUCUGGGAUCUGUCACUGCUGACAGCACCACAGGGCACUGCCGUGAUCUUCUGCACAGCCUGCACUCCCCGAAAUACCCUCCUUAAUCUUUUUGAUGUCUGCGCGCCAGCGCUCAGCUGACCGCGCCGAAUCCGAGAGGCCUACGGGUCCACCCAUCCCGCCCCCUUCCCAGGCUCACAGCCUCCCCCAACCCCGUCUUUCCAGAGCAUUAAUUAAAAGCGGAAAAAAGA
rnacentral:sRNA from 1 species